rnacentral:lncRNA from 1 species
UUUUGGGAGAACAGAGAGCUCCAUAAUGUUGUUGGAUAAGUUACUGACUAUAUAUGAAGCCUUAUUCUACAAUUCUAUGAUCUUGAACUCAUAUUUAUCUGCAACUUUGUGAUAUUUACAUGUAUUCAGUUUUAACAACAAAACCACCACUUCAUAUUAAUUAAAUUCAUAUAAUAAUUGUAGAUUAUAUAUUUUAUAAUAGUCAGGACUUCCACCUAUGUGUAUCUAACAAAAGAUCCAGUAUCGUUCUUCUAGCACCCUCUUUCAAUAACCCCCUAGGCUUUUGUUCUUUCUCUGCCACAUUUUUCUUCCACUUAUUUCCUACUUGACAUGUACUGUUCUUUAUCUUCCUAAAUUCAAAUGUCAGUUAUAUUCGAUUUAAUAACAGUGUGAUAAGAACUCAGUGUUUUCAGUUUCCACAUAUUCUUGGUUUUGUUCUUAAGUCAACAAGAUUUUUUUCUCUAAAUCUGUUGGUCUUUGGAGAAACAGAGACCUAACUAGUUUUGGUAUACAUUUCUAUAGUGUAAGGGUUGCAGCGUAGUAUUCUGAAAAUAACAUUUGGAGUAAAUCACAUCUGGGUCUAAAUCCCAUUUAUCCAUACCAGCUAUGAGAUCUUAACUAAAUUAUUUAACUUCACUACUGUUAUGGACCAAUUGUGUCCCUCCCUUCAAAAUUCACCCACUGAAAAACAGAAACAAAAACAAAAACAAAAUUCACCCGCUGAAGUCCUAGCCCCCAGUACCUCAGAGGGUGACUAUAUUGGGAAUUAGGGCCUUUAAAGCAGUAAUUAAGUUAAAAAUGAGGUCACUAGGGUAAGCCCGAAUCCAACAGGACUGGUGUCCUUAUAAAAAGUGAUUAGGCCACAAAAACACAGAGAUGGAAAACCGUGUGAAGACAUAGGGAGAAGAAGGACAUCUACAAGCCAUAGAGAAAGGCCUCAGAAGAAAUCAACCCUGCCAACACCAUGAUCUUAAAUUGUUACUGUCCAGAAUUAUGAGAAAAUAACUUUGUUAUUUAAGUCACCUGAUCUGCAGUACUUUGUUAUGGCUGUGUGGGAAAUGAACAUAGCUACUUUAAAAAUAAAGAAAAGAAAGAAAUACUUCAAAUGUCUACAAAGGGAUACAAAUAUCCUAAUAAACACUCACUCUUUCGAUCUUAUUGCUUUGUCAUAUUUCGUUUAAAUUAAAAAUAAGUAAGACAUCAUAGACACAGCUGAAGUUGGUCCUUUCUUUCCCUCCCCAGGUUAUAUUCCCACUAGCACUGGCUAGGAGAGCUUAUCAUUUCCUUGCCAACAUGCAUCCCAUUCAGGCCUUUAAUUUUGGCUACUCUAGUGUGAUGAAGGGAAAGGAAAUUUUGUGAUUUAUUUUGCAUUUCUCUGAUCUGGUGAGGAAAGCUUCAAUUCUGCUUCCUCUAAAGUAUGGAUUAUAAUAGAAUCUAUCUUGCAUAGCUCUAUGGAUUAAAAUCAAAAUAUGAUCUACUCAUGCAGAAUGACACUGGUACAGUGCUGGUCAGGAAGAGUGUAUCAUGAUUGUUCAGAGAGGAAAUAUUGUUAAUAUUCUACCCAAAGAUACUCUCUGUAUCUUCCCUGGCUACUGUUAAGUAGUUGCACUGUUUCCAUAAUACAAAACUCUCAUCCCAGGUUAGCUUAAACUUAACUCUUAAGAUUCUUUUUUUUUUUUUUUUUACUAUGUUUUGAUAACCUGUAUACUUUCUUAGUUCUGAUGGCACUCAAUCACAUUGGUCACAUAUUCCUCUCAGAAAAAUCAAAAUGUUUACCAAUUUCUAUGCUCAAUCUAUUUUUUUUUCAGGUCAUCUUUGGGCUUUUACAGGUUUUUUUCCCUAAAUUUAGAAGUCUAUAAACAUGCCUGCUUAUGAGUUGUACAUUUAUACAGAAAGAAGGGAUGUACCUGUAUCACGGAUAUAAACUGAGCUCAUUCCCAACACUGUCCAUCAAUCAGGCCUUGGGAAAUAUAAGGACAUGUCAAGUUCAAUCAUAGAGACAAAGUAUAGGCUCUGGAUUCUGAGAUGUUCACCUCACCUAGAUUCUAGAAUCUAAGAUGUUUAUCUUAUGCUGUAAUAUAUCAGCUACAAAGUGAUCUAUUCAUAAGAACUCUAGCAGAACUAAUUUUAUGAGUAAGAAUUUUCUGCUCUCAAGUUUCUAAAGAGUCAAUAUGGAUCUUAAAUGUAAUGAAGAUUUAUGCUCAGUAAAAUAUUAUUUAUAAUAAUGAAAAAAACAAACUCAUUGAAUGAAUGAACCCCAAAGUCCAAAAAGUAUUUAAAUAUACCUAAAUAAUAGGAAACUACAUAUUCAAAAAUCAUGCUUUCAAAGAAUAUUUUUAGCUCCUAUAAUAUUAAGUGAAAAAAGGAAGACACAAAAAGUAUAUACACUGUGAUAAUUUUGUGGCAAAAACAUAAAAGCAAAUAGAAGAAAAGAUUGGAAAACUAAAGCAAAAUGUUAAUAGUGGUUAUCUUUGGGUGGUGGCAAUAUGGCAGUAUUUAUACUUUCCUAGUAUUUAAAGUAUCUACACUAAGCAGGUACUAUUUUAAUAAUGGGCAAACAAUUAGCAAAUGCCUUUGGGUAAAAAAAAAAAAAAAAAAAAAA